rnacentral:lncRNA from 1 species
UUGAGAGCCAUGUCUGAGUCUUAUAAAGGCUAUGGCUCCCCUUAGUGGACACUGUUAGUUUCUAUGUUGCAGCGAUACACUGCAUGCUUGUGCGUGAGUAUACCGUGACAGACCUCUGGAGGGUUAUUAUUUGUAGGGUCGUGUUUAUGCCUGUCUGAACGUUUUGUGAGGCCCAACCUCGCCUUCCCUUGACACUCCCUUUUCAUUGUUUUGGAAUGACUGCAAUGGGGGAGACGGUAGCAUUAAACCAGCCAUUGGUUGCCAGAAUAUGACCUGAAAUUAGACGAGUUGGCAUUACAAAAUAAAGGCCUAAAUUAUUUCGGGGUAACACGUCUGAAAUGUGUAAUUGUGUUUUUGGUUAAGGUGCGAGGCUUAAGGCUGAGGAUGAAGAGCCAUUUAUUUUAAGUUUUAUCUUCUCAGUUAAUCUUAUAUUAUGACAUACUGUAGCUUCACUUUUGCUGGAGAACUGUUCAUGGUCAACGAUGCUUUUAAUUUGAAAGUCAUGAGCGGAAUUCCCUCAAUCGUUAUUCUCGAUUUAACAGUUCUGACAAAUAACUGCAUCCUACCACCAAAAGUGGACGAUUCACUUUAUAGCAGCAGGGCUGGAAUAAGGAUAAUUGUGUGGAGUUGGAAAAGUUCUGUUAAAUAAGCCUACUUCAAGAAAAUAUUUAGUCCGGCGGUAAAAAGUUAGUUUACUUAUUAAUUAGUUUACUCUGAAAGCACAAGCUGUUGCAUUAUGGACCCCAGUAAGUUUGCGAGCGCUCCUCCAGCGGGAUGGGCUGAUGAGAAAUCCUCUAUGGGCCAUGUGCCCCCUCCGCCCUACCAGGAUCAGCCGCACCCGGGAUACCCUCAGCCCGGCCCGGAAUACUCACAGAACCAGGGCUAUGGACCCCCACCGCAGUAUGGCGGUGCACCCGGACAACAGCCGUACCCCAUGGGUCAGCCGUACCCCAUGGGUCAGCCGUACCCCAUGGGUCAGCAGUACCCAGGGCAUCAGGACUUGGUCACUGUCCAGCCCACAGUCUACGUGACUCAAGUCCCGCUGCCUAACCCUGUCAACGACUACUUGUGUUACUCCAUCUUCACCCUGGUGUGCUGCUGCCUGCCGCUGGGAAUCGCUGCCCUCAUCUACUCCAUCUCAGUGGCUUAUCUUGAGUUGCAGACCCCCGCCUAA